GGAGCGUUGGCUCGAAUGGUAAGGCACCGGAUUGUCAAUCCGAGGUUGACCAAAAGGGAGGAGCCCUAGCAAGCCGUCCCCAGUAGGUCUUGUGGGUUCGAGUCCCACACGCUCCG
rnacentral:tRNA from 1 species